UAAUUUACCUGCUGGAAGUUUCUAGACAGGUAGGACUCUGUGCUUCACCAGCGUUAAUGUCUAAUGUGUUCAGUCGGUAAAGGAUUUGGAGUCGUAACAUGUAAAUAAGCUAGAAAUCGUCAGCGUCAUCGUCACGUCUUCGUCACGCUAUUCGGGCCGCCCUGUGUGUAGAUGGGAAUAAAAGCAGGUCGCUUCCGUGUCCGUGCCUCAGAAGGACAGAGCAUUCUCUCAGUACAGCGAAAGAAUGAAAGUAAUGCUGAUAAACCUCUUUAAACAUUCCUGGAACCUGAUUUUCUGCUAAUGAACAAUGCUAACUGUUGACCAUUUACACAUCAGUGUCCUCACAUGGACAUGAUUUAAAGGACAUCGUCAUCGUCUGAGCUGGAGGCUUUACUGAGCUCUUUACGGUCCAUAAAACCACAGAAUCUGAGCAUCACUCUGAAUUCCAGUUCUCCCAGUAUGGAGAGUUAUAUUGGUUCCUUCCACUUCCUGCAGUUUGACCGUCUCGUCUCCAGCCGCACACAAAAAGUGGACUGAACUGGAUCUUUCCCUGUCGCUGGAGUGGAGAAAAACACCUUCUGUACCUUCAGGUGUGUCUCUAAACAUUACUCUCAAAGCUAAUUAAUGUACAUGAGAGUUUCUUAAACUAAUCAUGUUCCUCAGAUCAAUUAAAAGUAAAAUACACUCAUAUAAUAAAAAAACCACACACUACAGGAAUAAAUUAUGUGCUGUAGAGAGUCCCACCUCAGUGACAGUGAAAAGUGCUGUUCAGUGUUUAUUCUGAGAGUUUAAUAGAAAGGAAACUAAACAGGUUCCUGUGUUUGGCUUUUGUUUGAAAAGUCAAAGUGCUGUGAAACAGGAGCUUUUCAGAGGACUCAUUAACACCAGCUCUAAACUGCUGUAGCACUGUUCAGCUUAACACUGAGCAAAAUUCACUCCAUCCAACACACCAAGUAUUACACUGACUUUCACAACCCACUUUCCCCUUCUUCAGGACGGACUUCUUUUAUAAAACUCUGUAGAUUUACAGUUACACUUUCUUCUGUUGUGAAGGAAAGGUGUAAACUUACAGCA